UAUCCAUGAAGGGUUUAGCUAUCAAAAGUCAUAACAAGCUUUAUCAAGAAGUCGUGAGUAAAGUCAGCUAAAAAGUUUGUACAAAAAUGAAUUUCUUCAAUUUUUUUACUAUCGUGCUUCUGAUUUCAACUGUUCUGGUUGGAAUCGCUCUUGGAAGAACGCCUAAUCCUGCAAAAAAAGCACAACUAGAUGCCCUGAAACAAGCCAUUUUCGAGAAGAAAAUACAGGAGAUAGCGACGGCCUACAGUGUUACUCUACCAACAACAACAACAGUAGCAACAACAACGGUUUAAAUGAAUCAUCGAGAAAAAAAUAUAAAGCGAUUGCUUGAUUAAAUAACAACAACAUGAUUAGAAAAAAA